GAGUUUGAUUAUGGCUCAGGACGAACGCUGGCGGCGUGCGUAACACAUGCAAGUUGGACGACGGUGCCAUGAAGUGGUAACACGGAAUGGCAUGCGGAGUAGCGGACGGGUGAGUACAACAUGAGAAGCUGUCCAAUAGUGGGGGAUAACGUUCGGAAACGGACCCUAAUACCCCAUAGGCCUUUUGGUUAAAGCAGCGAUGCGCUAUUGGAGGUGCUCGUGUCCUAUCAGCUGGUUGGUGAGGUAACGGCUCACCAAGGCGACGACGGGUAGCCGGCCUGAGAGGGUGUCCGGCCACACUGGAACUGAGAUACGGUCCAGACUCCUACGGGAGGCAGCAGCGGGGAAUAUUGGGCAAUGGGAGAAAUCCUGACCCAGCGACGCCGCGUGAACGAAGAAGGCCUUCGGGUCGUAAAGUUCUUUUAUGUGGGAAGAAGGAAGUGA
rnacentral:rRNA from 1 species